CCUGCCCUUAGAGGCAUUGCAGGUAUGACUGCUGUGUCACAUUGCAUCUAUAGGUGGCAGAGAUGAGAGAGGCUCUGUCUUGUGACCAAUGACCGUCUGUAUGAUUAGCAGC
rnacentral:snoRNA from 1 species